rnacentral:rRNA from 1 species
GUUUGAUGUUCUAACGUUGACCCGUAAUCCGGGUUGCGGACAGUGUCUGGUGGGUAGUUUGACUGGGGCGGUCUCCUCCUAAAGAGUAACGGAGGAGCACGAAGGUUGGCUAAUCCUGGUCGGACAUCAGGAGGUUAGUGCAAUGGCAUAAGCCAGCUUGACUGCGAGCGUGACGGCGCGAGCAGGUGCGAAAGCAGGUCAUAGUGAUCCGGUGGUUCUGAAUGGAAGGGCCAUCGCUCAACGGAUAAAAGGUACUCCGGGGAUAACAGGCUGAUACCGCCCAAGAGUUCAUAUCGACGGCGGUGUUUGGCACCUCGAUGUCGGCUCAUCACAUCCUGGGGCUGAAGUAGGUCCCAAGGGUAUGGCUGUUCGCCAUUUAAAGUGGUACGCGAGCUGGGUUUAGAACGUCGUGAGACAGUUCGGUCCCUAUCUGCCGUGGGCGCUGGAGAACUGAGGGGGGCUGCUCCUAGUACGAGAGGACCGGAGUGGACGCAUCACUGGUGUUCGGGUUGUCAUGCCAAUGGCACUGCCCGGUAGCUAAAUGCGGAAGAGAUAAGUGCUGAAAGCAUCUAAGCACGAAACUUGCCCCGAGAUGAGUUCUCCCUGACUCCUUGAGAGUCCUGAAGGAACGUUGAAGACGACGACGUUGAUAGGCCGGGUGUGUAAGCGCAGCGAUGCGUUGAGCUAACCGGUACUAAUGAACCGUGAGGCUUAACCUU